rnacentral:rRNA from 1 species
AUGAACGCUGGCGGCAGGCCUAACACAUGCAAGUCGAACGGAGUUAUAUUGUAGCUUGCUAUGGUAUAACUUAGUGGCAGACGGGUGAGUAAUGUAUAGGAAUCUACCUAGUAGUACGGAAUAAUUGUUGGAAACGGCAACUAAUACCGUAUACGCCCUACGGGGGAAAAAUUUAUUGCUAUUAGAUGAGCCUAUAUUAGAUUAGCUAGUUGGUGGAGUAAUAGCCUACCAAGGCAAUGAUCUAUAGCUGAUCUGAGAGGAUGAUCAGCCACACUGGAACUGAGAUACGGUCCAGACUCCUACGGGAGGCAGCAGUGGGGAAUAUUGGACAAUGGGCGAAAGCCUGAUCCAGCCAUGCCGCAUGAGUGAAGAAGGCCUUUGGGUUGUAAAGCUCUUUUAGUGAGGAAGAUAAUGACGGUACUCACAGAAGAAGUCCUGGCUAACUCCGUGCCAGCAGCCGCGGUAAUACGGAGAGGGCUAGCGUUAUUCGGAAUUAUUGGGCGUAAAGGGCGCGUAGGCGGAUUAGUAAGUUAAAAGUGAAAUCCCAAGGCUCAACCUUGGAAUUGCUUUUAAAACUGCUAAUCUAGAGAUUGAGAGAGGAUAGAGGAAUUCCUAGUGUAGAUGNNAAUUNNCGUAAAUAUUAGGAGAACACCCAGUGGCGAA